CGACGGCAGAGCUCCGAGCGUCCCCUCCGGAGGUGACGGGAGGCCUCCUGCCGGGUGUCCUGUGCACUGGAGAGCUUGGCGCAGAGUCCGGGGAAGACCUCUUUUGGUGUCUUCCCGAUCAGAGACAGGCACAGGACUAGAAGAAAUGCAAAAGCCAGUGCUUCCUCUUCUACCUGGACCGGAUCCACCACAGGUGAGCCUCUCAGUAAUCCUGGCGGCUGCCCAGCCCUGCUACUCUCCGACUCGUCAUCAGUCAUAGGAUGCCUCUUGCCAUCUGACUGCUGCUCACGAGUACUUGCUCAGCUCGUGGAAGCCCAUCUGUUGCAGACCUGCACUGGGAGGAGAUAAAGGAAGUGUUCGCUCGCGUUCAAGUUCAGCUGCAGUUCUUUGCUUCAUAACCUGCUGCCUAGGUAGGUAAUAGUAGAAACAAACACGGAGAAUGUAGUUUUUUCCUGGUGAGACGUCAUUGUCAGUUUCAAUCAUGAGGUAAAGGCUGGUACUUUCUUAGAAUUGUGUUCUGCAAUGCGUUUCGCUCUACUAAAAAUCAGGAUAUCAUUUUGAAUGUCUUGUUCUUCCAUAUGAGCCUGGAUUUCAUCUGGCAAUUUCACGUGUUACACAGGUAUUUUGCUCAGAGUAGGUACUACAGCUGAGCCCAAAAUAAAAACUUGAAAAAGUGAACGGGAUCCA
rnacentral:lncRNA from 1 species